UUCUUUCUUAGAAAAUUAUUAGGUAUCUUCUUUAAUGAGUGAGUAACACCUCUCCCGUUUGGGAAAGGUAAUAAAUAGUGUGUAUGUAAGUAUAAGGAGAAUCUGAUUAAAGAUUUUUCUUAAAUUGUAAUAAGUUCAAGAAAUAAAAGUUUGUUCAUAUAUCUCUUGUCGAUCAUUUAUGUUGGUAACAAAUGAAGAUUGUGAUCUUCGACCUUAACGGAGGAAGGACGAAAAGUAGUCAAAGAUAGUGUAUCGCAAUAGGCUAAGAUAGUUCUUCAUAGCCGGAAGGAGAAGCACUGAGGUGCUGAUAGAACCAACAUAAAGGAAAGUCGAAAGGUAUUCACAUAAACUCUGUUAUUUCUUUGAACUUAUUAACAUGAGAAAAAUCAGUUUUUAUACUCACUUUACACUAUCAUACAUAUUAAUAUUACCAAGUACCUAUAGGAAAUUUUAAAUCAUGAAUAAUUUAUACUUAUCAUUAUGAAAGUAGUACAACCUCUAUUAAAAGAAUAUCAUAAUUGGUAUUGAGAAAACAAAAUAAAUAUCAGAAGGCUUAGUAAUAAUAUAAAAAAUUUAAAAAAUUAUUCUCGAAGAAUAUAUAGGUUAAAAAACUAUUUAAAUAAUCCUCAAAUUAACAGGUUAAGAAUAUUAGUGGUUGCCGCUAUAAAUGAAAAUCAUAAUCUAAAAACAACGCAGAAUGUUCUGUUAAAAAGAUAUAAAAAUAAGAUCAUGAAAACGACUUUGUUUACAGCUUAAUGAGUUAUUAUACUAAUUUCUUAGAUGAAAAAAAAUAAUAGUCACUAUUUUAAAAGUGAUAAAAUUGAAUAAAGACUUACAGAAAAAAAUCCUAGAAAAAUCAUAGAUCAUAUUGUGCAAGAACAAUGGUCUAUUCAUGAUUAUUCUUACAAAGAUUCUGAUGAAGAUGACUAUUGGCCAUACUCUGAUGAUAAUGAUUAUUGGCCUUAUGAAUACGAUGAUUGCUAUUACACUGACUAAUUGUCUAAAUACUCCGCAUGUAUUCCCUAUUUUUUUUUUUAAAAAAACAACCCCAUUUUAUUGGUAUCAGAGUUUAGUUGUUAAAUAGUUUUGAUGAGAAGAUCAUUCAGCAGUAGAGAAACUUUUAAAAAAAGUUAAAAAAGCUCUAAAUAUUAAUUAUUUAGAAUACAAAUAAUUGAGUGAAACAAAAAAUGAUCCUCAUAGGCUAGAUUAUCUUAUCACUUUGAUCUCUAGCUUAGAAGUAAAGUUACCGAUUUAUUUAAAAUUCAGAAAUUCUUAUCUCUUAAAAUAUGCCUCUAGAGUAUAUAAGUAAAAUCAGAUUAAGACAAAGUUGAUUAUAUGCCGAAAUUAAUUACAGAAGAGAGCUUAAAGAGAUAUUAAGAUAUCGUAAAGAAAGCUUGGCUUGGUUAGAAAGCAUCAUAGCAAAAAGUAAUAACUGGUUGAUCUUUAACAAUAUAUUAAUAAAAGAACGAGAUUUGAUAACAAAGAAAAUCAAGGAUAUAGAACUAAAUAUUACAUACAACACAAGUAGAGUAAAAUAUUAUAUAAAAAUCUGUAAAAUUACAAGUACUUUAGGAUAAUAACUUUGCUUAAACAAUAUGGAUAAAGAACAAGCUUUAAAAAUGAUACCAGAAUUAAAACAGGAGUUCAGCAUCCGAAAAGAGCGAUACGCUUAUAAUCAAUUUGCCAGAGUCUGCAAAAAAUAUUUAUUUUAUCAAAAGAAAAUCAUUUUUGAGCUAGAACAAGAGAUCUGACAUCUAGAAUUUAAACUAGAAAAUAAUUUGUUUAAAAAUGAAUGAAAAAGAAUUUAUAAAAAGAGUUCUAAAUAAGUUAGAUGAUCUUUUAGCUAUGCAAAGACAUAUAAGCCUUAAGAUAAAUCUAAUAAAAGAAGAGAUUAAAACCCUUAAAAAUAACUCACCAUCCAGUAUGGGUAAACUAAUUGAAAAAACCAAAGUUUUUAAUAGAGAAUUAGGAAAAAGAAUUAGAAAUGAAAUCUUUACCUUAAAAAUUCCUAAUAAAGGAAACUAUCAACAAGGGAGCUCAGAUGAGAAAAUUAUAUCUAAUUUUUUAGAAAAAAGACACAGAGAAGAUUUAGAAAAAAUAGAAGAAAUUUCAAAAACUUCUAAGGAUAAAGAAGAAGUCUCUACCUCUAAAACAAAAAUAGAAGAACUUACUGAAAUAGAAGAAAAUGAAUGAACUAGACGAAUUAGUCUAUGCUCUAGAAGAACUUGAUCUAAACAAUCAAAAUUAUCAUGUUUAUACAAAUAGAGGAGAUACAGGAGGACCUCAGGGAACCUUUAAAGCCCCUAAAUAAGAUGAAAGCUCGUUUGACGAGCCUGCACCAAAAAGUAAUUUUAUACCAAAAUCUAAAAAAUGGAAAGACUAUAAUAGUCAGUACCAUAUAAACUCUAAAGCUAAAUUCAUGCCAAAUAGAUUACCAAUAGGUGAUGCUGGAGCGGCUUAGUUUCUUGAUUUAGACUGUAAAAGAGAGCACGGAGAAUUUUUAGAUUUAUGGGUAAAAAACCUAGAACUAUUUUUUAUCCUAGGAAAAGGGAGUAACUAUACUAAUGAAGAAAAAUAUUUAAUAGCUACAAAUACCUUUACAGGAAAGGUAGACAAUUGGUUUAGAAGAGUAUUUGUAGAUAAUGAAAAGGUUUUCAGAAUAGAAGUUAUCGCAGAUUUUGAAAAAUCAAUGCGAGAUGAAAUUAAUCACUUAGUGAAAUAUAUAGGAGCUGAAUUCUUAGGAAGUCAAUCAGACAUCUCUAAAGGAAAAGAAAAACAAGGGUUACUAGCAGCUGAAUGGCUAGAAAAGCUUCAAAUUUGUAAAAUGAAGUAUAUUCAAGAAUAUACUUGCGAAUUUGAAACUUACUACUACCAGUUGUUUGAUAGUAGUAAAAAUCUAACUCCAUUUAUGGAUAUAUAUAUAUAUAUAUAUAUAUAUAUAUAAAAUAUAAUAUAAUAUGUCUAACCAACUCAAUAGACAAUAGUAUUAGUCAAUCCCAAAGAAUCUCUUGGACCUUGGUAAUAUAUUCGUAAAAAGCAACAAAAGAAAUACUAAAUAGGGUUUCUAUUAAAUAUACUCUUUGAAGUAUAAACAUAUAUUGGGAUAUUUCCAACUUUAACUAUGGUAUUACCAAAAAUCGUACUGAACCGAAGUUUAAUUUAUCGAUUACCGAAUUACCGAAUCGAUAUUUAUAAGUAUAGUAUAUGGUAUCUACUAUCAAAUACCGAUUACCGAAUUAUGAAACCCAAAAUUUAAAAAUACUGAAUCGAAUAUCGAAUGCCCACCCCUAUCUACUAUAGGUCGUUUGGUUGGGAACAACUUCUCGACAUUAAUGAAAUUAGUUAUCUUAUUUUUAAUAUAAAAUAAAAAUAAUAUUAUAAUUUUAAAAUAAUUAGUAAUUUUUUAAUAGAAAAUUCAACAUUUUCUAAACCAAAUAAGUACUUUAAGAGGUCGUUUGAUAGAGUGUAUUGGAAGUUAAUGCAUGCAUUAGUUUAAUGUGUAUUAGUAGUACCUUGUUUGGUAUGUCUUUUUAUCCUAUGUAUAACUAAUGAUACACUCUAAUGUGUAUUGAGGUGUGUAUUACUAAUACCUCAAAAUCCAUGACAUUAGUAAUGCAAUAGAUCUAAUGCAUGCACUAACAUGCUUAAAGACACUAUUAUCCCUCAAAAGAAUUUCCGCAUCCAAUUUAACAUAUAUAUUAAAAGUACUAUGUAAAUUUUUUUUAGAAAUUAUGUAAUUCAUGUUAUUUUUAAUACAUCGAACUAAACACUACAUAAGAAAAAUACAAGCAUAAGUAAUGCAAGCAUCGCUAACAUAAGCAUUAUUAAUACAAACAUUACUAAUACACCAUAUUUUGCAUUAUUCUUAUACACUCUACCAAAUGACCCCUAAAUAUGUAUGUGCAUGGAUAUUCUGUAGGGGUUAGGAAACCACAAGUUCUCCACGAGCAUAGUAGUAUCAAUGCUGUUGUGGAUAUGCUAGAUAAGAAGGGCAAUAAUUUAGGAUCAGAGUGUUUUUCGAAAAAAUGGAUAGUUCCACCUUUGUUUGUUCGGAAGCAGCUUGGAAUAGACAAGGCAGGAAUUACUUUUUUAGGACAAUCUACUGUAAUACCCCGCAAAGUUCUCUUCUAGUAUGAGCCUUAGAGUGUAUCCAGCAAAACGGAAAAUCUGAGUCUAAAAGUUUUAGAAGUAUCUUUCCAAGUAUGAAACACUUUGAAUUUUGUGUAAUUUCCCUAAUUUCUACUUUUAGUCAUGUAUAGUAUUGGACAAUCUUUCCAUCGAUACCAAUUUCAUCAAAAUUUGACAUCGGCCGAAUAAGUUAUGGCCGUUUUACUGAGCAUUGUCGGAAUCGCAAGUUUGACGGUCGAUCUGACGGACCGCCAAGUUCUUGGUGGACCGUCAAGUGUCCCAUAAGACCAAGGCAGUGGCUUCCUUUUUUAGUCAUCAUAUGACGGCCAAAGUGGUGGACCGUCAGAAAGUUGACGGACCAUUAAGGGGCCCGUCAGACCGAGGCAGAAUGUCCCAUUCCUCGACCCCGAGUGACGAAUGAUCUGGUGGACCAUCAGAUUUCUGAUGGACCGUCACUUCGACCGUCACUCUGAGGCAGAACAUUCCAGUUUUGGCACUUGAGUGACGGACGACUUGGUGGACCGUCAGUCCCUCUGAUGGACCGUCACAGACCCCGAUCAAAAUUUUCUAGACAAAUUUUAAAGGGGCAUUUUGAUAUUUUCCACAUCCUCCCCCAUCUCUAUAAAUACCGGGACAAGGGCCUUCAACUUUAUUUUUCUCUCUUCCACCCAAAAAUUAAGGUUUCCAAAAUCAAAAGACUCUCUUCUUCUUUUAUAAAAUUCAAGAGAGAUCAAGAAGGAUCUAGAGAAAUCAAGAACUCCUUUCAAGAGCGUUCAAGAAAAGAAAUUCCCAGGUAUGUAGAUGUUGAUUCUUGGGUCCCUUUCAUCCAAGAAGCUCAAGUACCCUUUUUUUUUAAACUUAAGGAUUUUAUGUUUUGUGAUAUUCCAUGAUUUGUAUGAGUUGAAGUUGAUGUUACUUGUGUUGUUGAGUUUGGAUUCAUGAUUGUUUGCAAGAUUUAUUGUCUUUGACCCUAGUAUGUGGAAUUUAUGUGAUGUUGUGAUGAGCCCUUUUGAAGUUGGUGUCUAUGUGAGGUGUUUAUGAAAUUAGGGUGUAGAGAUGGUUGAAUAAGCGGAGUAUUCACCCCAUAGGUUGGAUGAAAGGCUGAGGUGAAACAUAGAGGGGCAUUGUAGUAUGUUAAAGGGGAAACCCAAAGUUGUGGGCUAGUCCAUGCACACCUAGUNNNNNNNNNNNNNNNNNNNNNNNNNNNNNNNNNNNNNNNNNNNNNNNNNNNNNNNNNNNNNNNNNNNNNNNNNNNNNNNNNNNNNNNNNNNNNNNNNNNNNNNNNNNNNNNNNNNNNNNNNNNNNNNNNNNNNNNNNNNNNNNNNNNNNNNNNNNNNNNNNNNNNNNNNUAGUGAGUAAGUUGAGACGAAAUAGCGGUAAAUCUCCCAAGUGAAUGCUCUUUGAUUUAUUUUAAGUUUUGAUACAUGAUAAGUGGUUAGGAAGAGAGUAAUGACAUGAUAGUGUGAAAUUUCCCCGAAAUCUCAUGAUAUCUAGAUAUAUGUCGAGACCGAUAUAGGUGUGAAGUAUUUGAUGCAAGACUUCAUUGAAUGGGGUAUAAUUUAAUAGUAUGUCUUCCUUAAGGUAGUUUGUGAUGAUGAAUCGAUAUUGAUGAUCCCCUUAAAUGUUGGGAGCUAUCCUUUGGUAAUCAUGAUGGUGAAUAGAGGUUUAUAUUUCCUUAAUGAUAGAUGUGAUGUCGUAAGGUUUGCGAGGGGGAAAGUAUGUUAUGCUUCUGAAAUGGUUAGAGUGACCCUUUGGUAGUUGUGAUGAUGAGUAGAUGUUUGUGAAUCCUUAGAGGCUUGAGGUGAUGUUCUAAUGAUUGUGAAAUUGAAUAUAUGGCAUGAUUUCUGAGUUUCUUGUAAAUAUACGUGAAUGAUGGUAAUGAUGCAUGAAUGCUUCUGAUGCUUGAAUGAAUGAUGAUGCUUUACUUCUAUGUUAUCGAGUUGUGGGGGUAUUUAUACAAGAAAAUAGAGCUAUUGUCUAGAGCCCGUGUCAUUUUCUCGAUAAUUUUAACUGAGCCAUGAUUUUCAGAACUCAGUAAACUAUAGAACUCUGUAUCCUCAGACAAGUGCAAAGCUUAAUAAAGCUCAAUAAUCUUAGUUAUCUCUAUAAUCUCUGUAUCGCUAGUAAUCUAGCCUCAGACCUGUAAUCAGCCCAGUCCUAAUGGAACUCAAGUAAUUCAAUUCUAAUCUCAGAAAUAAUUCCAAUCGAGCCAUGAUUUUCAGAACUUAGUAAACUAUAGAACUCUUUAUCCUCAGACAAGUGCGAAGCUUAAUAAAGCUCAGUAAUCUCAGUUAUCUCUGUAAUCUCUGUAUCGCUAGUAAUCUAGCCUCAGACCUGUACUCAGCCUAGUCCUAAUGGAACUCAAGUGAUUCAAUUCUAAUCUCAAAGAUGAUUCGAAUAAUCUAAUCAAGCUAUGUAUCGUCAGUCAGAUACCGUGAUUUGAUAUUAUUUCUAUCAGAUACGGAACCAAGUGAUCUCAGUGUAUUUAAGACAGAUCAUUUGAGAAACAUGAUCAUGUAAACAGAUUCAGCUUUAUUGUGUUCAUUCUAAGGAUUCAGUCAGAAUCUUUCAGUUGAGAGUAGAAAUUAGCACCGAGCGAGAGAAAGGAUGGCGAUUCCUCCUGUCAGAGAGAGAGGCCGGAGUCGUUAGUAGCAAUCCCUGAACUCCAGUACUACGUAGCCAGCGCAGGAUACAGGAGUCCCCAUCAGUAGAGGCUGUCACCGUCAGAGAGGUUGACUAUUAUAUUGCCUCAGGUCGACUUCCUGCGAGGGUCAUCCCAUCAGAGAGGCUUGACCCGAGAGUGAGUCUUUACCCGUGGCACAGUAUUGACGCCCUUCCAGUUGGGGUUACAGGUUGGACCCCACAUGUGGUAGGUCGGGGCAUGUCGGUUAAGUGAAUACUUCCCACAGUUGCAGUUUCAGUAUCAAUCUUCAGAAGUCAAGACCAUAUGGUGCAGUCGUAUAUCUCAGUAAGGAACUCAGAUAGUUCCAUUGAUUCAUGAACCAUCCCGUCAGAUAGGCUUGGCCUCAUAUACAGAUGCUUACUAUAAUCUUUAAUGAUCUCCCAUCAGAGAGGCUUGAUCUCAGUCUCAGAUCAUGUUGAAUAUUCUUAUUAUCAUAUUUAAAGAUCUCCCGUCAGAUAAGCUUAGUCUUCUUCUCAGAAUUUAUUGAGUAUUCUCGUUGUUGGAUUCAGAUAUAAUCCUAUUUUCUUAUCAUUGAUAAAGUUUUCGAAGUUAUCUGUUAGAAAAGUUGAAUCUCUAAUUCUGUCGGUUGAAAGUGGUAAGCUCAGAACUCAGUCUUUGAUAUAAGUAUACUCAAAUCCUCAUUUAUCAGUAGCAGAUGAGUCAGUGGUUCAAUAUCUCAGUGAUGGUAGUGAGUUUAGCUCGUAGCAAAGCGGUACCUAAGGUCAAGUCUCUAGAGUUAUGAUGAUUAUGAGUAUGAUUUAUGCAUUCUUGUAUGUGUGCUUGUUUUCGUGCGGUAUUCUCAUGAUCAUUUAGGUUAUACAUAUUUUGCAUGUAUGAGCCCUUGCAUUUAGCCUUAACCCAUCUACAUACUCGGUACAUUUUGUGCUAACGCAUUUGGGCUAUGGUGUCUCAUUUGACACCAUAGAUUUAGAGGCACAGGACCCAGAGUAUCAUCAGCAGAUCAGUCCUAGUCAACAACAUUAACAGUGAGUCCUCUUCUUUCAAGGAUGAGUUUCAGUUUUCUAUUAUUGUAAUCAAAAUCUUAUUUACUUUCAGUUGACAGAGUUAGUUGGGGACCUGUCCCAUCAACUCCACAGUUCAGUCAGAUUAGAGGCUUUUCAGACGGAUGUAUUGU
rnacentral:lncRNA from 1 species